GGAGCUGUAGUUCAAUUGGUAGAAUAGUAGAUUCCAAUUCAAGUUUCUUCGGAAAUAAUGUUUGGAUUAUCUAUUGGUCGCAGGUUCGAUUCCUGUCAGCUUCA
rnacentral:tRNA from 1 species